CGCCCCGCCCAGGGCCUGGUGGUGGGCUCUGGAGGUGGUUGUGUAUUUCGCCGCCCUCGCCUGGCCUUCCUGCCUUACACCCUCAGGCUCUUCAGGCCGCAACUGUGUAGCACGCUGUGCUCACCUUCCUCCAACAGAGCUGCACCCCUCCUGAGAGCAAACUGAUGGUUUGUAACUCCCCCAUCCUUACUCCUUCUCAACCAUUGCCCUCUCUGGGCAUCUCUCCUUUCUUGAAGCACUUUGAAGGACCCUUCAAUCCCGUGAGCCCUCUGGAGAGUUGGGUAGGAUGUGAGCCAUGCAUGCCCAGGGUACCCAAACCUGGGCCACAGAGCCGAUCUCUCCCCAGUGCUGAGAAGCCAUACAAGGCCAAGUCCGGAAGGGAGCUAGACAGAUACAAGGAAUGAUGGGUGAUGUCAGACAGCCCGGCUGGCACCUCAGCCAAGAUGGGUUGGAGAGAUGGCUCAACACUGACUACUCUUCCAGAGAACCUGGGUUCAAUUCCCAGCACCCACAUGAAAGCUACCAACUGUCUGUAACUCCAAGAUCUGACGCUCUCACACAGGCAUACAUCAAGCUGAUAAGCAGUGUAUGGGAACUGUGUCCUCGAGCCACACUGGACUACACUGGACUCCGCUACUUAGAGC
rnacentral:lncRNA from 1 species